rnacentral:rRNA from 1 species
UACGAAGGGGGCUAGCGUUGCUCGGAGUCACUGGGCGUAAAGGGUGCGUAGGCGGGUUUUUAAGUCAGGGGUGAAAACUUGGGGCUCAACCCCAAGCCUGCGGUCGAUACGGGCAGGCUAGAGUUCGGUAGGGGAGACUGGAAUUCCUGGUGUAGCGGUGAAAUGCGCAGAUAUCGGGAGGAACACCAAUGGCGAAGGCAGCUCGUUGGGACGUUACUGACGCUGAGACGCGAAAGCGUGGGGAGCAAACAGG